CCCUCGCGGAUGGAGCUGAAAUCAGUCGAAGAUACCAGCUGGCUGCAACUGUUUAUUAAAAACACAGCACUGUGCAAACACGAAAGUGGACGUAUACGGUGUGACGCCUGCCCGGUGCCGGAAGGUUAAUUGAUGGGGUUAGCGCAAGCGAAGCUCUUGAUCGAAGCCCCGGUAAACGGCGGCCGUAACUAUAACGGUCCUAAGGUAGCGAAAUUCCUUGUCGGGUAAGUUCCGACCUGCACGAAUGGCGUAAUGAUGGCCAGGCUGUCUCCACCCGAGACUCAGUGAAAUUGAACUCGCUGUGAAGAUGCAGUGUACCCGCGGCAAGACGGAAAGACCCCGUGAACCUUUACUAUAGCUUGACACUGAACAUUGAGCCUUGAUGUGUAGGAUAGGUGGGAGGCUUAGAAGUGUGGACGCCAGUCUGCAUGGAGCCGACCUUGAAAUACCACCCUUUAAUGUUUGAUGUUCUAACGUUGACCCGUAAUCCGGGUUGCGGACAGUGUCUGGUGGGUAGUUUGACUGGGGCGGUCUCCUCCUAAAGAGUAACGGAGGAGCACGAAGGUUGGCUAAUCCUGGUCGGACAUCAGGAGGUUAGUGCAAUGGCAUAAGCCAGCUUGACUGCGAGCGUGACGGCGCGAGCAGGUGCGAAAGCAGGUCAUAGUGAUCCGGUGGUUCUGAAUGGAAGGGCCAUCGCUCAACGGAUAAAAGGUACUCCGGGGAUAACAGGCUGAUACCGCCCAAGAGUUCAUAUCGACGGCGGUGUUUGGCACCUCGAUGUCGGCUCAUCACAUCCUGGGGCUGAAGUAGGUCCCAAGGGUAUGGCUGUUCGCCAUUUAAAGUGGUACGCGAGCUGGGUUUAGAACGUCGUGAGACAGUUCGGUCCCUAUCUGCCGUGGGCGCUGGAGAACUGAGGGGGGCUGCUCCUAGUACGAGAGGACCGGAGUGGACGCAUCACUGGUGUUCGGGUUGUCAUGCCAAUGGCACUGCCCGGUAGCUAAAUGCGGAAGAGAUAAGUGCUGAAAGCAUCUAAGCACGAAACUUGCCCCGAGAUGAGUUCUCCCUGACUCCUUGAGAGUCCUGAAGGAACGUUGAAGACGACGACGUUGAUAGGCCGGGUGUGUAAGCGCAGCGAUGCGUUGAGCUAACCGGUACUAAUGAACCGUGAGGCUUAACCUUACAACGCCGAAGGUGUUU
rnacentral:rRNA from 1 species